UUGGUCGAAAGUACCGAAGAAGGACGUAACAAGCCACGAUAGUUUACGGUGAGCUGCUGAUAAGCUUUGACCCGUAAGUUUCCGAAUGGGGUAACCCCCCCGCCUUAUGGCGAGGACGGCUAACUGAAUUCAUAGGUUGACGGAGGGUACAGCCCGAACUGAAACAUCUAAGUAAGGCUAGGAAAAGAGAACAAUAGUUUAUUCCCCAAGUAGCGGCGAGCGAAAAGGGAACAGCCUAAACUCAAGGAGCAAUCUUUGGGGGUUGUGGGGUUUACGAUAUAGCAUCAGUCGAAGAUAGUUAAAGUCGCUGGAAAGCGACACCAAAGAAGGUGAUAGUCCUGUAAACGAAAUCUGAAACUGGCUUAGUAAAUACCCAAGUAGCGCAGGACACGUGUAAUCCUGUGUGAAUCAACGACGACCACGUCGUAAGGCUAAAUAUGCUUUCGGACCGAUAGUGAACUAGUACCGCGAGGGAAAGGUGAAAAGAAGAGCGAAACGCUCAGUGAAAUAGUACCUGAAACCGUAUGUUGACAAGCAGUGGAAGCCAUGUACCAUACGGUACGUGGCAACCGCGUGCCUAUUGAAGAAUGAACCGGUGAGUUACCGUAUCCUUUUUAGCUUAAGCCAUUAUGUGGUGUAAGCGCAGUGAAAGCGAGGGUUAAUAGCCCGUUUCCCCGAUUUAAUCGGGGUUUGAAGGAUGCGAUAGACCCGAAACCGAGUGAGCUAUCCAUGUCCAGGGUGAACCCGCCUUAAUCGGCGAGGGGAGGCCCGAACCCGUUGUUGUAUCAAUAACUUGGGAUGAGAUGUGGUUAGAGGUGAUAUGCCUAACGAACUCGGAGAUAGCUGGUUCUCCUCGAAAUAUAUCUAGGUAUAGCCUGAAAGGCUUAAGCAUAGGGGUAGAGCACUGGUUCGAGUUUGCGACGUAAGUCGUAAGCUCGAGUCAAACUCCGAAUACUAUGCAAUUACUUUCAGAGUCAGUCCGAUCCGGCUAAGCGGAGCGGUCUCAAGGGAAACAACCCAGACCAACAGCUAAGGUCCCUAAAUGUCCCGAGCAAUCGGGAUCCCGCACGAACGCAAGUUCGUCGGGACAAGUUAAGUGUUAAAGGUAGUCUUUAUCCUUAGACAGCCAGGAAGUUGGCUUAGAAGCAGCCAUCUUUUAAAGAUUGCGUAACAGCUCACUGGUCUAGUUAUGGGUGAAGGCGCCGACAAUUAAUCGGGGCUAAACUUGCUACCGAAGCUUUGGGUCCGACGAUCCCCGCAAGGGGGCUGUCGGACGGUAGAGGAGCGUUCU
rnacentral:rRNA from 1 species